rnacentral:rRNA from 1 species
CCUACGGGUGGCAGCAGUGAGGAAUAUUGGUCAAUGGACGAGAGUCUGAACCAGCCAAGUAGCGUGAAGGAUGACUGCCCUAUGGGUUGUAAACUUCUUUUAUAUGGGAAUAAAAUGUUCCACGUGUGGGAUUUUGUAUGUACCAUAUGAAUAAGGAUCGGCUAACUCCGUGCCAGCAGCCGCGGUAAUACGGCGGAUCCGAGCGUUAUCCGGAUUUAUUGGGUUUAAAGGGAGCGUAGGUGGAUUGUUAAGUCAGUUGUGAAAGUUUGCGGCUCAACCGUAAAAUUGCAGUUGAAACUGGCAGUCUUGAGUACAGUAGAGGUGGGCGGAAUGCGUGGUGUAGCGGUGAAAUGCUUAGAUAUCACGAAGAACUCCGAUUGCGAAGGCAGUUCACUGGACUGCAACUGACACUGAGGCUCGAAAGUGUGGGUAUCAAACAGGAUUAGAUACCCCUGUAGUC